GCCAUUUUGCCAUUUUCUGAAGUAAAGAGCUCCUGAGAUUGGAGAUCCCUGUGACUUCAGAAUAAUGGCGACAGAAGUCAAUACGUGACUUUUUUUUUUUUUUUGGACGCUCUGGGCUAAAACAGGAAGGGUAGGGUCUUCCACGCCCUGAUGCAUUGGAGCAGCUGGCGUCUUGCCUCCCUCCCCUCCCCAGUGUGGUGCUUUGUCGCCACCUGGUGGUUGUAGCGGACACUGCCUGGGGUAGCCGGACCCCGCCGCCUAGGAUGCGACCACUCGCUGCAGAAAGAACAUUCCUAUUCUAUGACGGAAGAAGAAAUGUGGAUGGCCCACAUGAUACUGUGGGUCUCCACGGUGACGCUACACACAGAGCAGCCCCGGAAGAAUGCUGAAGAGAAGGCUAAGAGCUUUGAAAGAUCCCUCGGAAUGGAGCCCAAAGCACACUGUUUAACCUCUGCAAUACUUAGGUCCUUACCUGUCCAACCUGUAUGGUGGCUACCAUGCUCAGGGUGUGUGAGGAUAACAGACCGAGGAGUGCCUGGAGGGACCCAGCAUUGAGAGAGUCACUAAUAAACAGUUGAGUUUUGUUGUA